UUCACAAUUUCUGCAGGAAUUGUCUAGUUUUGGUUACUAGGGGAAACAUUUACAAGUAAUAUUUUUAUCCUUGAUUUCCAAUAAAAACAAAGACAGAUAAGUGCCAGCUCAUUAAUUUAAUUUUGAGGCGAGAAUAGCUGUUUCUACAAUUGGGAAAAAUAUGAUUGGUGGAGGGGACAGACAAGAUGUGGUUGUUGUAGUUAGGGGUUUGGUCAGGGACACAGUGAUGGUGGAGUUUCAGUAUUACAAAGCAAUGGAGAACCUGAGUGUGUUUCAGAGUGUGUGUGUUAUAAGGGUGUUUAAUGUUCAGUGGAGGGGUGGGAGCUAUUUUUGCAUAUGGAAUAGGAUGAGGGAAUGGAAUAAGUUUCCUUUGUGACAGAUUUGUGUAUUUUUCAUAUGAUCGUGGUUUUGUGUUUUAUUGUGUCUUUGUUUUUAUUUAUGUGAUGCUAUUGGUGUCUUGAGAGUGGAAAUAAAGGAUUGUUAAAAUUCAAAAUUCUGUUCUGCUGUUCUUACAGUGUGGACCAUGGAGGAGAGAACAGGAUCAAACCAGGGCCCAGGAAAUAUGGCUGUCAGCUCACACUGGAUCCAAACACAGCGCACAGAGAGCUGUCUCUGUCUGAGGGGAACAGGAGGGUGACACGCACACCGGGGAGAGAGCAGCCAUAUCCUGAUCAUCCAGAGAGAUUUGAGCACGACCCCCAGGUUGUGUGCAGAGAGAGUGUGUGUGAGCGCUGUUACUGGGAGGCUGAGUUCAGUGUGUCUGAGCGGGGGGAGGGACAGGUUCGUAUAGCAGUGACAGAUAAAGGAAUCAGCAGGAAAGGACGGGACUGUGGGUUUGGACGCAAUGAACACUCCUGGAGUCUGGACCGCAGUAUUACUAUUAACUCUGGUAGAUCCAGAGGCUCUGAUGAAUUCAGAUACCCUGGUGAAUUCUCUGUCAUGCACAAUUGGAGCGGACUACUCGUACAUGCCUCCCCCUACUGCAGAGCAGGAGUGUUUCAUGGUGGUAGAGGAGUUUGUGUGUACAGGGUAGGAGUGUGUGUGGACCGUCCGGCCGGCACUCUGUCCUUCUACAGUGUCUCUGACUCUGACACACUGACCCUCCUGCACAGAUUCCACACACACUUCACUCAACACACACCCCUCUGUGCUGGAUUUACAGUGUGGAACACCUCAGUGUCCCUCUGCCAACUGGAGUAGAGACAUACACACUCGCAUACACACACACACACACACACACACACACCACACUCAUAUAUCCACUCACACACACACACCACACACACUCAUGUGUGCGCACACACUCGUAUAUACACAUACACACGUACACACACACACCACACUCAUAUACACAUACACACACACACACACCACACUCAUAUACACAUACACAUGCACACACACACACGCACUACACUCAUAUACCCACUCACAUACAUUCAUAUGCACACACACUCAAAAACGCAUACACACACACACACACGCCUCACUCAUAUACCCACUCACACAUACACACACUGAGAUACUCAUAGACACACACACACCCACACCUACACACACAUCCACACACACACACACUUCACUCAACACACACCUGUCUGUGCUGGAUUUAGAGUGUGUGACUCCUCAGUGUCCCUUUGCUCACUAAAGUAGAGACACACGCACACACACACACACAUACACACACACUCUCUCUCUCUCUCUCUCUCUCUCACACUCACACACACACACACUGAUGUACACGCAUGCACACACUCAUGCACACACACUCUCUCACGCCCAAUCACACACAUGCACACACACACCUACACACAUG